rnacentral:lncRNA from 1 species
AUUAACUACCUGGUUUACCAAUAAAAUAGAUAAAGGAAACAGUAGCAUUGAUCUUUUUCAUUCAAGUGGGAAUCUUUACAGCACUGUGUAAAUGUGUGUGUACAAAUUGUAUGUUUCUUGUCAUACACACCACAUUUAUAUAAAGUAAGCUCUCAUAGCCGUCUAAAUAUUAUUUCCUUUUUCUGCAUCGUCCCCCUCAACUCAUCAUCUAAAUGAAAAUACCCUUAGAAGUUACGCUCUUUAAACUCGAAUUAUGAAAAGGUCUUGAAUCACAGAUCUAGGAAUGCUGUUUGUAUUAUUCUGAAGUAAAAAUAAUCCAUUGGAAGAUAGUGUCAAAACUAAGAUUCAAAUUCGGGCACCGUGAUUUUUAACCCAUGUUUAAAUAUAGAUGGUUAAGAGAAGCUGCUGGAA